rnacentral:rRNA from 1 species
UGGGGAAUAUUGGACAAUGGGCGCAAGCCUGAUCCAGCCAUGCCGCGUGUGUGAAGAAGGCCUUCGGGUUGUAAAGCACUUUAAGUGGGGAGAAAGGCCCGUUGGUUAAUAGCCAGCGGGAUUGAUGUUACCCACAGAAUAAGCACCGGCUAACUCCGUGCCAGUAGCCGCGGUAAUACGGAGGGUGCGAGCGUUAAUCGGAAUUACUGGGCGUAAAGCGCGCGUAGGCGGUUUGUUAAGUCAGCUGUGAAAGCCCCGGGCUCAACCUGGGAACUGCAGUUGAUACUGGCCGACUAGAGUACGAGAGAGGGAGGUAGAAUUCCAUGUGUAGCGGUGAAAUGCGUAGAUAUAUGGAGGAAUACCAGUGGCGAAGGCGGGCCUCCUGGCUCGAUACUGACGCUGAGGUGCGAAAGCGUGGGGAUCAAACAGGAUUAGAUACCCUGGUAGUCCACGCCGUAAACGAUGUCUACUAGCCGUUGGGAGACUUGAUUUCUUAGUGG